rnacentral:rRNA from 1 species
GACGUAGGGUGCGAGCGUUAAUCGGAAUUACUGGGCGUAAAGUGUGCGCAGGUGGCCGCGCAAGUCGAGUGUGAAAUCCCCGAGCUUAACUUGGGAAUUGCGCUCGAAACUACGUGGCUCGAGUGUGGCAGAGGAAGGUGGAAUUCUCGGUGUAGCAGUGAAAUGCGUAGAUAUCGAGAGGAACACCAGUGGCGAAGGCGAGUCUCUGGACAUUUCCUGACGCUGAGGCACGAAAGCCAGGGGAGCAAACGGG